AGAUCACCUUCCACACUACCCAAAGCAAAAAGACGAAGUAUCACAGCAGCUAUAUCCACAGGAAAACAUCCACAGCAAUUGGGCGUCCUUGGUUCUGAAGAGUAGCUGCUCCAAUGUCAAAAUGAAAAUUACAACCUCCAAAUUAAUAGAGUGCCGCUCCAAGGCCUGGAGAGUGGGAUCCAGAUGCACCUUCUAUCGGGA
rnacentral:lncRNA from 1 species